AUUUUGCUGACAUCACUGAAAAGGGUGUAACAUUUCAGUCUCCAGUGGAUGGAAAGUCAAUGCUCCUUACACCAGAGGAGUCUAAUCAAAUCCAAAAUAGAAUUGGAGCAGAUAUCAUAAUGGCCCUUGAUGAUGUGGUGAAAACUACUACUACUGGUCCACGAAUUGAGGAGGCCAUGUAUCGUACCCUUCGUUGGAUAGACAGAUGCAUAGCUGGUAGUUAUCGUUAAGAUUGAACAUUA